rnacentral:rRNA from 1 species
UACAUGGGGUGCAAACGUUGCUCGGAAUUAUUGGGCGUAAAGCGCGCGUAGGCGGUUACUUAAGUCGGAUGUGAAAGCCCUCGGCUUAACUGAGGAAGUGCACCCGAAACUGAGUAGCUAGAGUACUAAAGAGGGUCGCGGAAUUCCCGGUGUAGAGGUGAAAUUCGUAGAUAUUCGCAAGAACACCAGUGGCGAAGGCGGCUCACUGGCCCGGUACUGACGCUGAGGUGCGAAAGCGUGGGGAGCAAACAGG